AUAUCAUGUUGAGGGAAAUUUCAUAACAAUCUCUUGUAGCGCUCCUAAGCAUCGUAUAACGACUCUCCUUCCAAUUGUUGGAAAUUUUAGAUAUUUCUCUUAAGUUU